CUGGUGUCUCUUCAUAGCAAUAAAAACAUGAACUCCUUCUGAAGAAGACCCACUUCACUAAUCCUAUUGGAGAAGUAGUGAAUAUGACCAGAAAGAAAUAUUACAGACAGAUUAUGACAUUUUUCCAGAUUCGGAAUUUCCCACAUAGUCUUGGACUUAAGGAGAAAAUAGCAAAGUUUAACCCAUGUCUUCCGCAUGGUCAGCAGCUCUGUUUAUCUGAAGACAUGAUAGAGUGGGUCAUAGGAGUGGACAGAAUUCCACCUGUGGGGCCACUGAGGCAGACAGGUCUCAACUAUAAUAAAACCAGAGACGCAGUUGUAAUAAAAACCAGAAACUGAGCUACCACCCGCU